GGGAGCAUAAAAGAAUUAAGAUGUGUUAUGAAUGUGCUCAUUAUGUACUGCAAACCUGUGCCAAUAAAAAAGGCUGUGGAAGGGCUGGGAUUGAGCUCAGUGGUUCCACUGCCUGCCUCGAAACCACAAGGUCCCGAGUUCGAUCCCUGGUAACAAAACAAACAAACAAAAAACGGCUGUGGAAAAACCUGUAACCUGUCUAUUAGCAAUGUUUUAUAUUGAUUCUAUGGUAUUCUGAAUAUACUGGGUUAAAUAAGUUACAGUCUUUUUUUUCUUAGUUGGUCUUUUGAGACAGGGUCUCGCUGUGUAGUCCGGGCUGGCCUUGAGCUUGCGGCAAUCCUCCUGCUUCAGCCUCUCGACUGCUGAGGUUACAGGCUGCACCACCGCGCCCGGCCGAGACACAGUCUUAAAAGCAGUUCCGCCUGCUCCUUUUCUUGCCGUCUUAGUGUAGCCCCUAGGAGAUGUUUUAAUGGCCCGUUCUAUUUCUUCAUUUCUCCCUGGCCUGGGCUGCUGGCUUGGCUGACUUGCACGGAGGUAACAGCGGGGCAGAGGCUGGGAGGAGCAGAGGGCGGGGCGAUCGCCUCCUUCGAAGGCACGCAGUCCCGGAGUUUCCAGCCGUGUACCUGGGGGCACAGCUGCCCUGAGCGUUCGCGGGGUGUGGCCGCCCCUGCCCCCCCCAAAUGUCCUCCGCCUCUAACUGUGACACCGCCAAAGGUCCCGGGCCCUCGGCUGAGAAUCCGCGUUUGGAAGCUUCCGGUCUCCAACCACGCGAAGAGGGCACAUCAGUGUACUUAAAAGCACCGACAGGAGCCAGCCUGGCAUCCCAGCCUUCUGGAAGGCUGAGACAGGAGGAUCGCAAGUUUGAGCCCAGCCUGGACGACUUAGCAAGACCCUGUCUGAAAACAAAAGUGUUUGGUGGUUUACCGGCUCGAUUGGCACAACAGGGAUGGCGCCCAGGACUCCGCGAGCUGCCGCGACCCUCCGAGGAGCGCACACACAAGGACCCUAACCUAGGGCGGAUGCCGCGGAGACCCCCACGCGGCCCGCCCGCUGCCAGGGAUCACCGUGCCGCACCGAGUCCUGCAGGGCACGGCCGCCGCACAGGCCCCUCCAGUCUCCGCCGCCAUGGUGCAAGCACGCGGAGCAGGAUCCAAACCGCAGAAAUAAGAAUUUCCGGUUUCUCGUGACAAAUCAGAAAUCCAGUGAACUGGACAGGUGCGUGGAGGCCUCGGUGGGGUCCGCGGUGCUGCCCACCCUUUCCCGCCGGCCCCUCCACGCCUGCUGCCCACCAUCAGGCGGGAUUUUCAGGAAGCAGCUUGGGCCCCAAGCACAUUGGGUCCUGAGAGCAGGAGACCCCGUUUAUCAGAGUCCGUGCGGGAGUCUGGGCCUCAGGCUUGGCCUACUGCACACCCAGGUUCCACCCUGGCUCUUACAAAUAAGUGUAAAGGAGGACGGAGGGAGGGAGGGAGUUCAACUUAACUUUCACCCUAAUCACCACGUGACAUCAUUUUGCCGUAUUUGAGGCCCCCCCCCCGCCCCAUCUCCUUAAUGUAAAUUGCAGGUAUCACUCAUCUUUGCCCCAAAAUAUUACAGUGUAGAUUUUUUAAAAUUAAUUGUAUUGGCCCAUUUUAGAUAUACAUAACGAUCACAUUCAUCAUUGGGAAUUUGCACCUGUACAUGAUAGAUCUUGCUUCUUCUUUUCCCAUUCCCCUUGGACCCUUUGACUCCUCCUCCCCUCAUUAUAUACAAAAGCUUUUUUCCAUUUUUCCUUCUAUUCUUUUUUUUUCUUGUCCCUUCCUUCCUUUCCCUCCCCUUCCUUUGUUCCCCUUCUCAUUUGAAGAUUUUCUUCCCAUUUCCCAACAUCCAUUAUACAUUUUUGUCCUUAUUUACCCUUUCAGUUUCUCACACUGUUCCGGAAUCGUGGAAAGAAAUGCACGGGGACACAGAAUUUGGGUAAAAAAACAAAACCUUUACUUGCAAGCGAGUGGGAACACCAGAAACUCAUCUGAUCAAUGUCUGCCCCAUUCUUUGUUUUAACAUUUCCUUUUAUAUCUUCUUUUAGCCUUUACCUCAUUCCUGGUGGUCUUAGUAAAAUUUCUAGUUCCCUUUUACAACUAGUUCCUGUUAAUGGUUAUAGUCACAGACAUAUAACAAAUAGAUGGCGCCUAAAAGACAUACAUUGUAAACUACCCAAACAUUUCUACUUUGUUUUUCUCCAGGUUCAAUGUUAUCUACAGCUAGGUUAUAGGUCAAAGUUUCAGUUAGCCAUCACCUUAAACAAUAUGAGUUAUGGGAAAGGUAAAUCUUAAAGGAAUGCACUACUUAUUCUACUUCAGCUACCUUAAUAACUAACCUAUAGUUUAAAUUUUCUCUAUCAACACCAGGGAAACUGUGGUAUUUAAACAUGUGUGUCCAAUUUAUCUCACUUAA